rnacentral:lncRNA from 1 species
AUGUGCUCUCUCUCUCCAAUGUCCUCUUUUUUCUCUUUCCCUCUUUCUUCUCCUCUUUUUCCCUCCCCCUCUCUUUCUCUCUCCUCUCUUCUCUCCCUCUCUCCCCUGCUUUCCCUCUGUCUCUCUCUUUCUCCUUCCCCUCUCUUCUCUCUCCUCUCUUCUCUCCCUCUCUCCCCUGCUUUCCCUCUGUCUGUCUGUCUCUCUCUUUCUUUCUCCUUCCCCUCUCUCCUCUUUUCUCUCCCUCUCUCCCCUGCUUUCCCUCUGUCUGUCUCUCUCUUUCUUUCUCCUUCCCCUCUCUUCUCUCUCCUCUCUUCUCUCCCUCUCUCCCCUGCUUUCCCUCUCUGUCUCUCUCUUUCUUUCUCCUUCCCCUCUCUUCUCUCUCCUCUUUUCUCUCCCUCUCUCCCCUGCUUUCCCUCUGUCUGUCUCUUUUUCUCUUUCUUUCUCUCUCUCCCUCCCUCCUCCAUCCACAUACGUCCCCAUGAGUUCAUCAAGGAACUUCUAGUGUGA